UCUGUGUGUAAUGAAUGAAUAUAAUAUACAAGUUUCACUUUUUGAAUGAUAGUUCACUGUUAUAUUGACAAAAUGACAAAGCAUUUUGACUAUCAUGUUUGAGAGCAGUUAUUGUCAUACAAAAUAACAAAAAGUGUUUAAAAGAAUCAUGAAUUAAGCUGGCACGUUUAAAUGUUUGUUAACAUAUUUAUUUGUUCUUACUUUGAUUUUAUAGCCCUAGCCCUAGCCCUAGCCCUAGCUGAGAUCUGCUUCUGCUGCUCAUACUGUGAUCAGCCGCCCUUCCCCCACAGCACUCUCUGAUCGCGCGCGCGCCCUUCCCCCACAGCACUGUCUCUGACUGACUCACUGCAGAUGAGAUGCUUGCAUAUCAGCCCUGCUGUGGGUUUGCAGACUUCAAUUGACUGUUUUGAUUAAUAAAUGCUAUUACAGUUUUUUUUCAAUCGCUUACAAGCGCUUACCCAUACUUUAGAUACUUUUUCUAAACUCUUAACACAGACUCACACCUACAAAACACAACAAUUGGCCAAAUGGAUAAUUUUCUUCUCGAAAACACAUUUUGUUAAAUUUAUACUAAAUCUUAAUUUCAAAAUAGAACACAUCUUUCUGUCAACACACCAACUUUACCAAAACACUGGAAAUCUGACUCAAAAUUAAAUUAUUCUGUCAAAGAAUAACUUGUUUUCACCUCAAAAGGUACAUGCAGUCAAUCAAAGUACACCAGGUUUCAAAAUACUGGCUAUUGUUGACAUUACAAAAACUGCAUAGACUUUUCAGUCUCAGUUUUACAGGUAUUUGCAUGCAAAACAUGCAAUUCACUGUUUUACACUAAAUUUCUUGGUUAGGAACUGUAUGUCCAAAUGUACAGUAAUGUUUACAUUCAAAAGCAUUCCAGUAAAAAGCUAUUUUUUUCCUUUACUGUUUACUGCAGGAGGUACAGUAGAAACGCGGUAUGAUAGAACAGAAAAGCUUUGAGAGUAUUGCUUACAGUGAACAGAAUAUCCAUCUCACUGCUCCUGCUCUUCUCCCUGGCCCCCUUGCUCUUACUCUUCCUCGUCCAUACAUUACAGUGUUUGUCUUUUUCUGUUUCCAAAAAUAUUACUCUUCAAAGUCCUCCUUUUACUGUAUUGUAUAAGUGUCAAUGUAAUAGAAAAAAAAAUAACCCCUGCGAUUGAGUCUAAGCCAGAUUGGAAUCAGCUGUGGUUGGCCCAAUUUACACAACAUAAAUCAGCUAAGAUAAAUUGUUUUUGAACUGAUUUAAUUGCAGAAGCAGAGGUUUUUAUACUGUAUCUAAGGUUUGGAACAUUGUUUUUGCUAUUGUGGGAUGUUGUGUGUUAACAUUUGUAAAUACUACAAAAACGAUCCAUAAUUUUGUUGGGAGGUAUAGCUUGUCUGUUCAGAAAAUGUAAGCAUUGUGGAAAUGUGUUCAAUGACUCCAUAUUGUGUAAAAACGACAUGAAAUGAGUGAAUGGUAUGGCCACAAUAGACAGAUGCUUUGCUAAUUGUGUUUAGAGUUUUGAAAAUAUGACAGCUGCUUGGACAAAUGCUUGUUAGCGACUGAAAACAACUGUAAUAGAAAAUAAGAUGUCUGUUCAAGAGAUCUAGGUUGCUCAUUUAGACAGUUGUGAGCUCUUGUUUACAGCAGACCUGCACAUUUUGAAUAUUCAUAUUUGUAAUCCUCUUAAAAGCUUUAUGAUGUGGUGUUAUUUCAGAAAAUUAAGUACACGUUGGGUACAUUUUUUUUACAAACCAGUGCACUUACUGGUUUGAAAAUCUUAAGAAUGAUUCAAGAAAUUAUAUAUCUAUGUAUCGCUCUCUCUCUCUCUCUCUCUCUCUCUCUAUAUAUAUAUAGAGAGAGAGAGAGAGAGAGAGAGAGAGAGAGAGCAGUUAUAGUCAUACAAAAGAACAAAAGUGUUUAAAAGAAUCAUGAAUUAAGCUGGCACGUUUAAAUGUUUGUUUACAGAUUUAUUAGUUCUUACUUUGAUUUUCAACUAUAGCCCUAUAGCCCUAGCCCUAGCCCUAGCUGAGAUCUGCUUCUGCUGCUCAUACUGUGAUCAGCCGCCCUUCCCCCACAGCACUCUCUGAUCGCGCGCGCGCCCUUCCCCCACAGCACUGUCUCUGACUGACUCGCUGCAGAUGAGAUGAAUGAAUGAACUAACAAAAGUCUUGUGAGCUCUAGUUUACAGCAGACCUGCACGUUUUGAAUAUUCUUAUUUGUAAUUCUCUUAAAAACUUUAUGAUGUGGUGUUAUUUUAUAAAAAUAAGUGCACACCGGGUACUUUUUGCUCUUUUAAACCAGUGCUUGUACGGACAUGCGCACUGGUUCCUAGUUUGAGGUGGGUGCUCGGUUAAAAAGUGAUCAUGUGCUCUGUCCACUAGAAAGACUAACUUCAUCACAUUUUUUUUUUAAGUUUGAAGAAACAGUACUGUGGUCAAAACAAAUAUCAUUGCCACCAGAUAAUUUUCUAUUAGGCCAAAUAAAUGUAGUCACAAUUUCAACGUGAAAUCCAAAUACGUAACUACGUCAUUUACGCAAGUCAGCGACGGUGGUGUUUUCCCGGGAAAUGCAGACACGUGACGAUGGAACGCGCGAAACAGACGACAAACAACCCACCAGGAGGAAAGAAAAACACAACACCGGUUUGGAUAUGAGGUCAUUUCAAGAAAGAAAGUCGCCAUGCUGGGAAAUAAAAGACGUAGGAAACCUCUGCAGGAUGCUUAGCAUCACAUUACCUGUAAAACUGACAAGCCUGGGCUUCGAGAGCAGUUCAUCAGCAAAUAUAAAGGCAAGUAUAAAUGACUAAGCAGUUUAGUAACUAAUAACUAGGGCUGGGGGAUAUGGCAAAAAAGUUAUCACGAUAAUUGUUUUAUAUUAGUCGAUAUCGAUAAUUAUCACAAUAAAUGUCAAAUCUUUAUUUCUUUCAAGUUUAAAGGCAGAUAUUUGCUCCUAAGUGAAAGUUGUAGAAACCAGAGCAUUAAUUGUGGUUUUAAACUACUCUUUAUUGUCAGAACAUAUCAUGACAAACACUUGCCAAACAGGUGAACAUUUCACAAAUCUGAGGUAGAACAUUCAAACAUUUGUUAUUUUUCCUUAACAAAAUAAAUAUAUUUAUUGGAAAAUGUAUUUCUUAGUUCCUGGAUGUGCUAAUGGGGGAUAUUGUUUCAAGUCUUGAAACAGGUUUGUGUUGCCUGACUUUGAUGGCAUGGAUCUUCAGCACAGUUUACAGUGCAGGCAGCAAUAUUAAUAUUAGAUAUAUUUUGUCUCAAAAUGCAUAUUUGACAAUGAUUUGCAGCAGUAUUAGAUUCAGUUAGGAGCAGAUUUACUAUGUAAAAUUUAUGUUCAUUAACAAAAACAGUAACAUCUUUUAAAACGACCUCAAUUUUAUUUGGUAAAAUGUAAUAAUCUGACUGUUUGAGUUUUAUUAAAAUUAACCAUUGGUCAUCCAGUAUCAUGCAUUUAGAUCAUGAUAACCACAAAACCAAAUACUGUAACUAUUUUAUUAAUCCUUUAAUACAUUGUCUACAUUACAGUUUUUUUCAAUCGCUAACAAGCGCUUACCCAUACUUCAGAUACUUUUUCUAAACUCUUAUCACAGACUAACACCUACAAAACACAAUUGGCCAAAUGGAUAAUUUUCUUCUCGAAAACACAUUUUGUUAAAUUUAUACUAA